rnacentral:rRNA from 1 species
AACUCAAAGGAAUUGACGGGGACCCGCACAAGCAGCGGAGCGUGUGGUUUAAUUCGUUGCUACACGAAGAACCUUACCUGGGUUUGACAUAUAGGUUGUAGGGAACUGAAAGGGACCGACCCUUCGGGGAGCCUAUACAGGUGUUGCAUGGCUGUCGUCAGCUCGUGUCGUGAGAUGUUCGGUUAAGUCCGCUAACGAGCGCAACCCUCGUCGUAUGUUAUAUGUGUCAUACGAGACUGCCGGUAAAAGCCGGAGGAAGGUGAGGAUGAUGUCAAGUCAGCAUGACCUUUAUAUCCAGGGCUACACACACGCUACAAUGGUCUGUACAGUGGGUAGCCAAGCCGCGAGGCGGAGCCAAUCCUGAAAGCAGGCCUCAGUUCAGAUUGCAGUCUGCAACUCGACUGCAUGAAGCCGGAGUUGCUAGUAACCGCAGGUCAGCAAUACUGCGGUGAAUACGUUCCCGGGUCUU